rnacentral:rRNA from 1 species
UACAGGGGGUGCAAACGUUGCUCGGAAUCAUUGGGCGUAAAGCGCACGUAGGCGGUUCGUUAUGUCGGAUGUGAAAGCCCUUGGCUUAACCGAGGAAGUGCAUCCGAAACUGGCGAGCUAGAGUACGGAAGAGGAUCGCGGAAUUCCUGGUGUAGAGGUGAAAUUCGUAGAUAUCGGGAGGAACACCAGUGGCGAAGGCGGCGAUCUGGGUCGAUGCUGACGCUGAGGUGCGAAAGCGUGGGGAGCAAACAGG